GAAAAUGCCGCCAGCCUGGAGCGGGGAAUCCAUGGACCGUGGGGUUGUGGGGUUGGGGAGCACGAAAACCCAGAGAGGGGCUAGAGCUCCACCUCCCCAGACCGCCGAGGGGCGAGAGGGCGCGCCGGGGGCCGUGGUUGCCAUGGCUCCUGGUAGCGGAGCCCGGGGGGCUGGAGAUGCCGGUCGCGGAUGGUCCCUUCUUCCUCUUUGUGCCUCUCUCUUUCUCUCGCUUUUUUUUUUUUUUUGGAGUGUGAGUGUGCGUGGGGAGGCAGCACGGAGAAAGUGAUUAAUUUGGGGAGCAGGGAUUGGAGCCGGGAGGCUGGGGAAAGCCAGCCCCUCCGUUCCCACUCUCCGGGCUCGCUGCGAGCCACAGUGUCUCAGCCAGGGGCAGGGCCGGGGAACUCCUGCGAAAAACCACGGGCCGGAGGAGCAGCAGCCGCGCGGGCCCAGGUGCUGUAAACUGCAAACCAUAAUCCUGUCUUAAUACUGCAAACAAAUCAUAGUGGAACUAAGGGGAACUUAAUUUACUGAAUCUCUUGUUUGGAAAUUUCCUCCCAGAAUACCCAACCUCUCAAGAAUUUUAAAACGAUGGAGUAAAAUAAUCUUCAAGCUCUGAUUAGAUUACAACAUAUGAAUGCUAAUUUUGUUUUUACAGGUUUCAACACCCAAAUUUAUCUGAACUUAGGGCACAAUAAGCAGUUUAACUGUUAGAAAUCUUAUGAGAUUGAGUUUGUGCCUAUCAGAUGAAUACAUAUUUGUAUAUAACAUUUCAAUUAUUGCUACAUUUAUGUAUAAUUUAUCCAAAAGCGAUGUUAUCCAUGCAUCUUAACAGAAGGCUUAAGUAGUUGAAUGACAGGGACUACAUUUUUGCUGCAGAAGAUCAUGAUAAAACAUGUGCUGUGUGGUCACCUUGGGUAAUGUGCCGAGACUGCUUGAUGGUACUUAUCUCUACACACUGCAUCUCAUACUGAUUUAUGGAUUUGGAUGACUUAUUUUAUGUCAAAGACAUAAAGAGAGUAGAGAAGAGAGAAUAGUAUUUUCAUUUCAGUCUUAAAAAAGUUCUAUCCUAUGAGAUGUUAACAGCUGCCUUCUCUUGGUGGUCUGUGAAGUUUUUAUAAAGAUAUUGAUUAUUUUCCAAUGACACACAAAUCUACUGCUAGAGACCAUUCAAAUGCUUAGUUACACCAGGGCUUGGCUCCUGUACCCUGAGGAGGACACGAUUAACCAAAUCCUCCUUUUUAAAUGUUCUCAGGACAAUGAGCUGCACAUACGGCACAAAUGCAAUUUGCUUGACCAAUCUUGCCUCUGUCUCCUUCUAUCUCCGUUUACAUGCUUCAUGCUCAGUUGAAAUUAAUUCUCUACACAUUGGUCUCAUGAACACAUCUUUGAGAGCAGAGUUCAAGUUAAAUUUUUAUUUUCAUCAUUACCUCUGAGAACACAAUCUGGGGCAUAUUAGACGCUUUGUAAGUGUAGAGGUGGGGAGAAAGAAGAAGAAAGAGAGGAACAGAAGGAGGGAAAGAUUUUCCUGAUAGAUCACUUUCUGGACACUUUCUGUGCUGAGAAGUUCUGAGAUUGCCUCUCUGGAUCCUGCUAUCUUGGCAGUCUUGCUAAGAGUUUCCAUUUACACUUAAACAUGGUUACUGAUGCGUCUUAAUGUUGCCUUAACUAUCAGGUUUCUGAUAGCCCCACAUAGCCAAGUGGGACCCUGGUCAAGAAGUUCACCUCUGUUAAAUAAAUAUGCAUAGAUUUUCAACAUCUCUUCACAUGCAUUCAGAGGUGAUGAAAGAUUCCACUGGAUGCUAGAACAUUGUGCAUAAAUAAUCGAAGUUGUAUGCUCUUCAGCAAUGAUGCUACCCCAUAUCCUUUUUUUUUCUUUCCCAUGAUAUGAGGAUAUGAGUGCAGCAGAACUAGCUCCAUGCCCUUGUCCCAGAAUUAAUCAUUCCUAUCCAUAUUUGAUGUCUUUACCUUUUAAAUAUUUAUGGGCUGUUAUGUUCCUUUCUUGUUGUUCACCCACUCUGGGGACAUUCAGAAGCCUCACAUUUCUUCCUUAGCCAAACACCCCAUUCCCUUCAUCCUCUCUCAGCUGUUCUUUGGAUUACCUCCAAAUUGCAUACAUAAUUUUGGUAUUGAGGUGCCAAAAAUGCAUUUGUUUCAACUGGAGUUUUAUUGAAGUUGCUUUUACUCAAAUCAAGUACACAAAUAAAUUUGAUUUCCAAGGCAUGAAAAUUCAGUUAGGUCUCCGAAGGGAAGCUGAGGUAUACUUAUAUUUCAUUAUAAUGCUACAGGUAGAUUUUAAGUCACUAGGAAAAUGACAUCUCAAAAUCAAAAGAUUAUAGAAUGAGCACUAUAUGAAGAAUUACAUUUUAAAGCAUAGGUCUGUGAUCAUUUUGUAGGUUUUUGUUGUUACUGUCAGUCUAUUGGUUUUUAUUAAUAAUUUUAUUGAGGUAUAACUGAUACACAAACGACAUAUUUAAUGUGUACAAUUUGAUGAGUUUGGACAUAUCCGAGGACUCAUGAGACUGUCACUGCAAUCAAGGUAAUAAAUGUAUUUAUUACUUCCAA
rnacentral:lncRNA from 1 species